UAGUAAACACCUAAUGGAUGCUUGUUGACUGACUGACUGACUAAUAGAUAACCAACCCACUGUCUCCUGAGGCUGCCCCUUCCACUUCUAGACAGUUUUAAGUUGUUUUUUCGUACAUCAGACUGAAAUCUUUUUCUCUGCAAUUUCUACCCACUGAUGCUAGUUCUGCCCUCUGGAGCAAAUAGGAAAAAAAAAAUCAAAUUUUUCUACUACAUAAAUACCGGUAAGAACUAGAAGAGAGCACCAUAUAUCCCCCUAAGUCUUCUCUUCUGUAGACUGAAUGUUUCUAGUACUUUAGUCAAUUCUUGUGUGAAAUCCUCUGAAGGACCUUUAUUAUCUUAGUUGUACUCCUGAUAGUAUUGCUCUAGUUUAUUUCUCAAAAGGAUCUGGUUCUGGCCACCUUCUUUCAGAACCAUGGCCAGGGUUAGUAAGACACUAAGAAUCUGGCUGGAUUAGCAUUAUCUGAAUGACAUCAUAGAACCGCUUCUGGUAAGAUUCUGUCAUUUGAGGGUAUACCAAGGACAGCAUGAUAAAGAAAUUAAUGAAGAAGAAAACAGACCUUAGUUCUGGUAGUAAUAGAUUAGAUGGAGCUUUGUGAUAAAUUUGGUGUCAGGAGAGCAUUAUGGAGGCAGAUGAGCUUUUAUUGCUUAGGAACAAUGCAGCCACAUUGUCAGGAUUCCUAGGAACAUUCCUUUAUCUGAGUAUGUCCCUUUGUGUCUUUCCCAAGAAGCAUCUGACUCUUAAAAGAUGGACAGGGCAAACAUGUGUGUGAUUAUUUUCUUUGCCUCUGGUUAUCUUGUAUUUCCCUUCUCUCUAAAAGCUGUAGUGUCUAUUUACACUAUUAAGAGAGUCUGUGAUAAUGAGACUUUCCUGAGACAGCUGAGAUUGCAUCUCAUGGCUAUUGUCUGAAUUUCUGCCCCAUCAACUUCAGCAUAUAUCUGAGAGCUUCAAGCAUAAUACUUACUAUAACAGAGUUCAGGAAGAAGUUAGGAGAAUGUAGCUGAGUGAAUGAUGUAUGCCCUUCUGGUUGAUUGAGAUUGAUCUGUUGGGAAGGGUUGCUCCUAUGGUUAUCUAGUUUUGACAGAGCUGAUAUUUCAUCUGUGAGAAAUCAAGGGAUUUAUUUGCCUAUAAGGCUUUGCCCUUGAGAAGCAAUGUGUACUAAAGAGCGAUAAACUUGGAGUCACUGGAUCUAAGUUCAAAUCCCAUAACUACUAAUUAUGACUGUAGCAAGUAACAGCCUUUUCCAGCUUCAGUUCUCUCAUCUGUAAAAUGAGGGAGUUGAUCUAGAUAACAUAUGAGAUCCCUUAUUGCUCUGAAUCUAUGGUCAGGGUCUUUUGAUCCAGGGACUAAUGUAUGUUAAUUCAGGUUUAGAAUUAAACUUCUUUUGGUUUGAUUUUUCCUUGUUUUUGUUCUUUUGAAAAACACUUCUGAGGUGAUGCCAACUAAAAUGAGCACUUCCAUAUACAUAGGAGAACAUAAAAAGGAUUGUAUGUGAAACUGUGAAUCUUUGUUAUGUACAGAUUGCUGCUUCUUUUUCAGAAUAUAAAAAUUCAGCAUUGAAAAUGAAUGGAGCUGAGGCCAAUCAGUACCUACUAAAGGGACAGUGUGUACAUCUGCAUGGGAACUUUCCUGUUUGCUUCAUCUAAGCCUGGCCCACGCCUCUCCUACAUACCAUUCUAGACAGAUGGUAGUCCAUCCUACUCUUAAAGCUCUCUUAAGGAAAGACAUUUAGCAACUGUCCUUAGCAUGAUGAAGAACUUUAAGAUAUGCUUGACUCACCUUUGGCUUCCUUUAAUUCUUUUACAUACUUGGAAGAAGAUACACAGGAUCUCAGAAUCAUACAAGAUUUCAAAAGCUUUCUAUUCAAACCCAUUGCUAAGCAAGAAUCCCUUUUAUAUGACAAAAACCUGGAAAUAAAGCAGAGACCAUUAAUUGUGGAAUGACUAAAAAAAUCAUGAUGUAUGAAUGUGAAGGUAUUAUAUAUCAUUAUAAGAAACGAUAAAUACGAAAAAUUCAGAGAAAUGUGGGAAGAUUUACAUGAACUUAUGUGUUAGAGAAUAAACUAAGCAGAAACUAGGAAGUAAUAUAAACAAUUGUUACAACAAUAUAGAUAGAUUAAAAAGGAGACAAAUUUUGUGUAAUUGUAAUAACCAAGGUCAACCAUGAAGCAAACAUGAGAAAAUGCACUUCUCUCCCCUGUUUAAAAAAGUGUAUACCACAAUGGCUAACAUAUAAUAUGUGAUUAAUAACUGCUUAUUGAUUGAUUGAAUUGGAGUACCAGGGAUGUGGAAUACUGUAUAUGUUAUCUAAAUUGAUUUGUUGUUUAGUUUUAUUGGAUUCUUUUUUUAAAAAAUAUCCUUUUAAUUUUUUUUGUCAUAGGAGAUGACUCACAUAGUAGGGGAAUGGGGAAUAUUCAGACAUGAAGAUGAUAUACAAAUAAAAUUUAUCAGUAAAAAUUUAAAAAGAAGCUGUUUCAUCCCUUGUCUAGGAAUGAUUAUCCUGCUUUUUGCUUGAAGACUUCCAAGCAGGCGAGGGAAAUCCCAUUGCAUUUUAAGGCAAUCCAUUUCAUUUUGGAAUAGAUUUAAUUUGCUUUUCCCAAAUCUAGGGUGCUUGUUAGACAAUUGUGACUUUUACAUAAUCUUAACUGGGCUCUUACUGCAUCAGAGCAAUCCUUUUAUACCUUUUUAAUCAAUUCACUAAGUCAUAUGGCAGUUUUUUUCUAAACUUUUUUUUAUCUUUCCUCAUGUCUCUCAUGAUGUCCUCUUCCCUUUACCCCUAAAAUAACCCAUGGCAAUUACUUCACCAAAAAAUUGAAGCUAUUCACCAAGAGCUACUCCUUUUCCCCUCCUUUCACAUGAUUCAGAUAUAGUCUCCCACUAUCUCCUCUUCUAUCUCAUAUGAAGAUAUUGCCUUUCUUCUUGCCAGGGAAAUUUCUUUAUGGAUUCUUCAGACCAUUUCAGUUCCUUGUCCUCUUUUUUGUUUUUAAGCUAAUCUUUAGUCUCUCCAUCUGUGUUAGCUUUUUCUCCGAUGCCAACAAACAGUGCUACCCCUCCCCCAUCCUUAAAAAAUUCUCACUUGAUCCUAUCAUCCCCAUUAACUUCUGUCCUUUUGAUAUGUGGUGUGUCCUUCAAUGACUAUAUUUCUCCUAUUUCUCCCUUCAUUUUCAACAUGCUUUUCUAUUCUUCUUCCUGGAUCUUCUCGUGUGAAAAUACCUUUUCCUUUUAAAUAAGAUGUAUACCUUCCAGCAUCUGGAAAGAAGUAUUUUGUUCCAGUCAUGGGUCCCAUUCCACAAAUUGUCAUAUGUAUUUAUAUAACAC